rnacentral:rRNA from 1 species
UCGAGAAUCUUCGGCAAUGGACGAAAGUCUGACCGAGCAAUGCCGCGUGCGGGAUGAAGGCCUUCGGGUUGUAAACCGUGAAAGUAAGGAGGAAGGUCCGCUGAAGAGGCGGACAUGACCAAUUUACAGUAAGGACGGGCUAAGUUCGUGCCAGCAGCCGCGGUAGGACGAACCGUCCAAACGUUAUUCGGAAUUAUUGGGCUUAAAGGGUGCGUAGGCGGCGCUGUAAGUCAGGUGUGAAAUCCCACGGCUCAACCGUGGAACUGCGCUCGAUACUGCAGUGCUUGAGGGAGACAGAGGUAAGCGGAACUGAUGGUGGAGCGGUGAAAUGCGUUGAUAUCAUCAGGAACACCAGUGGCGAAAGCGGCUUACUGGGUCUCUUCUGACGCUGAGGCACGAAAGCUAGGGUAGCGAACGGGAUUAGAUACCCGCGUAGUCC